GUGUUCCUAUGGCUCAAUCGGUUGAGCAUGGCAAUAACGACGCCAAAGUUGUGGGUUUGAUUCCCAGGGAACACA
rnacentral:tRNA from 1 species